rnacentral:rRNA from 1 species
UCUGGUUGAUCCUGCCAGUAGUCAUAUGCUUGUCUUAAAGACUAAGCCAUGCAUGUCUAAGUAUAAAUAGUAUACAGUGAAACUGCGAAUGGCUCAUUAAAACAGUUAUAGUUUACUUGAUAAUUGAAUUCUACAUGGAUAACCGUGGUAAUUCUAGGGCUAAUACAUGCUGUCAAACCUGACUUUUUGGAAAGGUUGUAUUUAUUAGAUAACAAACCAAUAUUCCUUCGGGUCUAUUGUGAUGAUUCAUAGUAACUGAUCGGAGCGAGGCUUUGCCACGCUAAAUCAUUCAAGUUUCUGCCCUAUCAGCUUUCGAUGGUAGUGUAUUGGACUACCAUGGCAGUCACGGGUAACGGGGAAUUAGGGUUCGAUUCCGGAGAGGGAGCCUGAGAAACGGCUACCACAUCUAAGGAAGGCAGCAGGCGCGUAAAUUACCCAAUCCUAAUUCAGGGAGGUAGUGACAAGAAAUAACAACUCGGAGUCUCACGACUUGCGAGAUUGCAAUGAGCACAAUUUAAAUCUCUUAGCAAGGAACAAUUGGAGGGCAAGUCUGGUGCCAGCAGCCGCGGUAAUUCCAGCUCCAAUAGCGUAUAUUAAAGUUGUUGCAGUUAAAAAGCUCGUAGUUGAACUUCUGGGCGUUCUCACAGUGGCUCCGGUCGUUGUGAGGGCGUUCAUCCGUCUGAGAACUAUAUUCGGCCUUCGCUGGUCGGUAUAGGGAUCAGGCAUUUUACUUUGAAAAAAUUAGAGUGUCCCAGGCAGGCAAUCGCCUUGAAUACACAAGCAUGGAAUAAUGGAAUAGGACUAUGAUUCAUUUUGUUGGUUAUUGGAUCAUAGUAAUGAUUAACAGGGACAGUUGGGGGGCAUUAGUAUUUAAUUGUCAGAGGUGAAAUUCUUGGAUUUAUUAAAGACUAACUUAUGCGAAAGCAUUUGCCAAGGAUGUUUUCAUUAAUCAAGAACGAAAGUUAGGGGAUCAAAGACGAUCAGAUACCGUCCUAGUCUUAACCAUAAACUAUUCCGACUAGGGAUUGGUUGGGUUCCUUCAGCCCAAUCAGCACCUUAUGAGAAAUCAAAGUCUUUGGGUUCCGGGGGGAGUAUGGUCGCAAGGCUGAAACUUAAAGGAAUUGACGGAAGGGCACCACCAGGAGUGGAGCCUGCGGCUUAAUUUGACCCAACACGGGGAAACUCACCAGCGCAAAACAUGGGUGGGAUUGACAGAUUGAGAGCUCUUUCUUGAUUCUAUGGGUGGUGGUGCAUGGCCGUUCUUAGUUGGUGGAGUGAUUUGUCUGGUUAAUUCCGUUAACGAACGAGACCUUAACCUGCUAACUAGUCUC